rnacentral:rRNA from 1 species
UGUAGUCUGCAACUCGACUACAUGAAGCUGGAAUCGCUAGUAAUCGCGAAUCAGAAUGUCGCGGUGAAUACGUUCCCGGGUCUUGUACACACCCGCCCGUCACACCAUGGGAGUCAGCAACGCCCGAAGCCGGUGACCCCAACCGAAAGGAGGGAGCCGUCGAAGGUGGGGCCGAUAACUGGGGUGAAGUCGUAACAAGGUAUC